rnacentral:lncRNA from 1 species
GUAAAAUUUUGAACUUUUUCUUGAAAUAAAGAUCGUUCGUUUAAAUAAGUACUAAGCACAACCAGAGGUAAAAUUUAAACUUCACUAAGUAAACAUUCAAAAGAUGCCAUUUUCGCAUGGCUUAUAUACAUUAACCAAAGAUAUUCUUCCGCCACUAGUCUAUUCUAUACAUGCCAUAAGAUAAUCCAAAACGUAGCAGUACCAAACAAUGGAUAGUGAUAGUGUGACUAGUUGCUGAUGAUCCCCGAGCUUGUAGCUUCCAAAUGAGAUCUAUAAAACAGAGCAAACAGAGUAAACGGAGUAAGCAUUACAAUGCUUAGUAAGUUUUAAGCAGUGUCAACAGAUAACAAUCAAAUUAUAACAUAGUUGUUCGUAUAGUUUAUUUCACUCUUCCUUCGGGCAUACCAUCCCUUUUUCCGAAUAUGCACAUCUCAUCAUAUACAAUAGGCAGAUAAACUUUCAUAUAAAAGUGAGCUCAUGUGACAUAGAUAUAUCGUAUGAUUUCACAUAACCUCUCACACUGAUCCGAUGUCACAUAAUCAUAGGAAUAGUCUCAUAGAUUGCUCUCUAUGCAUCACAUAACUACCUUAUGAUUUAGUGCAAAUCAAGCUCACAUAUAAACUUGGAGUACAUACUUGUUUAACCUUUCGCAUUGAAUAUAUUUAUAAGCAAUUCUUAUUACGAAGUCUUACCCGGACAUAAUCUCCACACGAAAUUAUCGGGUCUUACCCGGACAAAAUCCCCACACGUAGUCAUCGGGUCUUUAGAGCUCAGAUAUAGUACGAGCACGAAGCUUACGGACAUUAAUCAGUGAUAAUAUUCUCGCAUAAAGCCUGCGGGGUUUUAACCCGGAUAUAGUGCUGACACAAAUGCCCUUCGGGACGUAUCACAUUUAUACACUUUCACAUCCAUCACGUUGGCCACUCGGCCCUGUCACAUAUAUACACUUUCACAUUCAUCACAUCGGCCAUUAGGCCUUAUCACAUAUAUACACUUUCACAUUCAUCACAUCGGCCAUUAGGCCUUAUCACAUAUAUACACUUUCACAUUCAUCACAUCGGCCAUUAGGCCUUAUCACAUAUAUAUACACUUUCACAUUCAUCACAUCGGCCAUUAGGCCUUAUCACAUAUAUACACUUUCACAUUACCAACCCUUUUAUUCAUACACAAAGAUCAACUUAGCCAAAGGCCGGUAGCUCAUUUAUCAACUGAGCGAAUACUUAUUUGUAAGGGCUCAACUAAUUCAAAGCACAUACGAAACAUACCUCAAUGUUUGGAUGUUUCAAGCGUAUUAACUAAAAUUUUUACAGCAAGAUCAUUCAUUCCCAAAUCACAUACCUUCGGAAUUUAACCGGAUAUAGCUACUCGUUCAAAUGCCUUUGGGACAUAGCCCGGUUAUAGUAACUCGCACAAAUUCCUUCGGGACUUAACCCGGAUUUAGUAACUAGCACAAAUGCCUUCGGGCUUAGCCCGGAAUUAGUAUCUCGCACAAAUGCCUUCGGAUCUUAGUCCGGAUUUAGUAUCUCGCACAAAUGCCUUCGGAUCUUAGUCCGGAUAUGGUCACUUAGCACAAAGCCUUCGGGACUUAGCCCAGACAUCAUUCAAAUAACCAUGCACAUUUAACAAUAAAUCAUGGCACAUUCGUAUUUCAUUUUCGUUAGCAAAACUCAAACACAAGACACUUAUCAUUCUUGCAAUUUCGGCUCAAUAGCCACACACAAAGAGCAUGAUUUUGAUUUGCUUAAAACAUGAUCUAAUCAAAUCAUAAUUUAAGCUCUAUUACUCAAGAACUUACAAUAUCACGAUUUAGAAUUCAAGUAUGGGUUUAAUCAAUAGCUUGUGAGCAACUAAAACAAGUUUAUCAAGGUUCACAACAUAAUCUCAAAUUCAGCACAAGCUGUUUUUCCUGAGCAAUAGUCACUAAAUUAUUUAUAACUAGAGCUAAAAAACUCCAAAUCACUUUCCGUUAAUUUUUCCUGAAUAUAGACUCGUAUAUCUUCCACCCAUAAAAUUUCCAGAAUUUUAGGUUUGGCCAAUCAAUACCAGAUUUUUCUUAAAGUUUCCCCUGUUUCACUGUUUGACUAAUCUAACCACUCUUCACUACGAAUCAAAUUUCUCAUUUUACAGAAUUCAAAAUGUGUUUUAUUUGAUUCCAUUUGAAACUAGACUCAUUAAUGAGUCUAAGCAUAUAAAUUUUAUCUUAUAAACAUUUUUUUACAAUUUAUAAUGAUUUUCUAAAAACAGAACAGGGGAUUUCGGAGUCAUUCUGACACCGUCUCACACAACUUUAAAUAUCUCAUUAUCGGAAAUUCCUUUGCUUACACGGUUUCUUUUAUAAGAAACUAGACUCAUUAAGCUUUAAUUUCAUGUCUCAUUCAGCCUCUAAUUCAAGUCCAUAAAUUUAUGGUGAUUUUCUAAAGUCACGUUACUGCUGCUGUCCGAAGCAGACUAUUUCAAAUUACCCUUAAAUUCCCAAGCUCAAACACUUAAGAACUUACCAUUUGAGCUUAGAACAUAUCAUGGCCACAUCAUAUCUUAUUAAAUCAACUCAUCAUGUCCUAUUAUAAUUGAAUUUACUCAACGUUUAAACACUUAAAACUUACCUUGGAUGUGGUCGAACAAUUUCGGCAGCUAUUCGAUCACUUCUUCCCUUCCCUUAUCCAACUUUGGUCCUCUAAGCUCUUGAGCUUAAUUUAACAAAUAAAUUGAUUUAAUCAUUUGAGCAUCAAAAGAGGAACUCAAGGUACUUAGCCCAUAUAUACAUACAUUAGACAUUAAAGUCACAUACAUAUGAAAUCAUAAAUCAAUUCAACAUAUUAGCCCACACUCUCUUUUAGCCGAUUGUCUAAGCCAAGAUAAAAGCAUCAAUAUGCUUGCCUCUAGCCGAAUACAUGCAACACCAAGCAAGAAUGAUGCAUCCAUGGCCGAGUAUCAUCUUCAUAACUUUACAAAAACAUUUGCCAUGAGCUAGCUUCUAUACUUGGUGGCCACUCCAAAUAUACAAAGAUUUUCAAUGAUAGAGCAUUAACAUACCUUAAUACAUCAAAAUAAUUAAAUUCUUCCCAUGGCACACUAAAACCGAAUAUGUCUUAUUCAAAUAUAAAUUCUCAUAUUUCAUUUAUUUAACCAUUUAACCCUCCUAUCAAAUAAUUUUCACAAACUAAUCUUAAACUCAAAAUCACAUAAAAUCGUAACACAAAAGGCAUUCAUCUAACACUUGAUUUCUAAAUUCUAACAUCAAACUCAAAUUUCUUAGCUCAUCAACUCAUGGCCGAACAUCAAUUAUUCACCAAAACAAAAAUUAACUCAUGGGUUUUAGAGAAAAUUAAGUAAGGAAUUCAAUGAUACUAAAAAUUAACAAAAACAACCUGAAUUUCACCUUGAAUUUUUGCUUCCAAAUGGCCGAAACUUCAAAGCCACAAAUUUUAUUUUCUUUCUCCUUUGUUCGGCCUCCAAGAUGAACUACAUGCAUGUUCUUUUUUUCUUUUUUUUUAUGCCCCAUACCGUCCAUAUCAAUUGUCUAAGGUUAAAUAUCAUCACAAAUACUCCAACUUACAAAAACAACUUCAAUUCGGCCCUGAAGAUACAAACAUGCAUGGCUUUCCAUUUUAUGUUUUAUAAUACUUAUUUUUAUGUUUUAUAAUACUUAUAAAAAUAAUUAUCUCACAAAUAACUUUAAAAUAAACAUAUAAAGACAUCAUGCAUUAAGCCAUUACCAUCCAUAUAUUUAUUAAUGAUAUAAUUGCCAUUCAAAACCUCAAUAUUCUAAAGACAUAACACUUUAACAUUUUCAUGAUAGCAUGCUUAUUAAUCAAUUGAUGCAUUUUAAUCCUUUUUAAUGACAUAAAGAAAGAAAGAAAAAUAUUUACCAAGAGUUUCAAACUACUUGGCCGAAUAUCAAACCUCCAAACAACCAAAAAAUUUAACUCAUGGAAUGGAUAGAAUUUGAACAAAUCACCAAAAUUAUAUAUAAAUUUUCAAGAAUUUCAAAGUACUUACCUCUUUCUAAAUAUUCUCCAAGCCGAAAUCAUACAAAGAAAUUUUUUUCUUCCUUCUAAUCUCAAGUUACGGCAAUGGUAGAGUGAGGAUGAACCAACUUUGUUUUUAUCACCCAUUUCUUUUAAUAUAAGUUCAUAUUUCAUAUUAUUUAUUCAUUUAACAUUUAAUUUAUUAAUAUAAAAGGCAUAUAUUUUGUAUCCCAUGCUCCUUAUUUUAUCAUACUUCCCAUGAAACACUAACUUAACAUGUUUAUGACAUGUUCUUGCCCAUCACACUUGGUCUACCAUACUUGUCAUGGCCGGCCACUACUAAUUAGGGGGGAAAUUGACAUGCAAGUCCCCCCUUUUUAUUUCAUGCACUAAUAGAUCCUUAUGCUUUGACCUAUCACAUUUCAAAAUUUUCUCACAUAAGUCCUAUUUGAUAAAAUUCACUUACUAUUAACAAAAUUCAAACAUGAAAUUUUCACACAUGCAUAUGUACAUAUAAUGAGCAUCAACUAUGACGGUUAAUUAUCUUUAUGACUCGGUUUAGUGGUCCCGAAACCACUUUCCGACUAGGGUCACUUUAGGGGUGUCACAGAUUAUGCUUAUUCCAAAGAUUAUUAAUCCUUCUAAUCUGACUCAUUUUCGGCCAAUUAGUCUCUGUAAUGUUAUUUAUAAACUUGUGGCAAAGGUGAUUGCAAAUAGAUUUAGAGGAGUCAUUGAUAAAUGUAUUGAUGAAGCACAUAAUGCAUUUGUGCUAAGGAAACUCAUAACAGAUAAUGCACUAGUGGCCUAUGAAGUUUUACAUUCAAUGAAACAGAAGAGAGGGGGGAAGAAGGGAUUUAUGGCCAUCAAGUUAGAUAUGAGUAAGGCCUACGACAAAGUAGAAUGGAAUUUUAUUCAAGAAAUUAUGAGUAGAAUGGGUUUUUCUCAAAAAUGGAUUGAAUCUAUUAUGAAAUGUAUCUUUAGUGUUUCUUAUUCAGUAGUGGUUAAUGGUAACAAAAGAGAUAUAUUCUAUCCAACAAGGGGACUUAGACAAGGAGAUCCAUUAAGCCCUUUUUUAUUUCUGAUAUGUGGAGAGGGUCUAUCAGGUCUAAUGCGAAUGGCUAUUAGCGAAGGAGUUAUAAAAGGUGUUAAAGCUAGUAGAAGUGGCCCCAGGGUGUCUCAUUUACUAUUUGCUGAUGACUGCAUAAUGUUUUAAGAAGCAACAAGAAGGGGAGUAAGAGCAAUCAAGCAGAUUUUGCGUGAAUAUAAAAAUAGUUCAGGUCAGUUCGUAAACUUUGAAAAAUCAGCAGUAUUUUUUAGCAACAACAUAUCUGUGGAAGUUAGGCAAAUAGUGAUCACCCAAUUGGGAAUCCACAGCUCCAAUGAAUUAGAAAGGUAUUUAGGACUGCCAAGUUUAGUUGGGAAAAGGAAAAAAGAAUCUUUUCAAGCAUUUAAGGACAAAAUGAAACAGCGGAUUGAUAAUUGGUGUAUGAGAUUACUGUCUCAAGGUGGAAAGGAAAUAUUUAUUAAAUCAGUUUUACAAGUGAUACCGACUUACUCAAUGGCUUAUUUUUUUAUUACUGAAGACAUUAUGUGAUGAAAUGGAAGGCAUUGUAGCCAAGUUUUGGUGGCAAAAGGGACGUGGAAAGAAAGGAAUUCAUUGGUGUUUAUGGAGAAAUAUGUGUUCUUUAAAAGAAGUUGGAGGUAUGGGUUUCCGAAUUUUUUGCCAAUUUAAUGUUGCGUUAUUAGCCAAGCAGGGCUGGAGCCUUAUUAAUAAUCCGAGUUCCUUAUUAGCCAGAGUUUUUAAAGCCAAAUAUUAUCCAUAAUCAAAUUUUUUAAACGCAUAGUUGGGUUAGUUACCUUCAUAUACCUAGAAGAGCAUUUAGGCAGCACGAGGGCUCAUUCAGGAUGGGUUGUGUUGGAAAGUCAGUCGAGGGACCGAGAUUGAUGUCUGGACUGAUUGCUGCAUUCCUGGAUGUGAAGCCAUUGGUAGACAAGGUAGAGAGACAAACAGUGAUGUCCUAUUAGUUUCGGAUUUAAUCAAUAAUACUAGUAGGACUUGGAAGCGAGACCUGAUCAAUAAUACCUUUCAAUCAGGCAUAGCGCAAAAAAUUUUGAAGAUUCCUUUGGCAGAGUCAGAACAUGUUGACUUUCAGGUGUGGAAAGAGGAACCUUCAAGGGAGUUCUCAGUAAGAAGCGCCUAUAAACUAUUACAUCAUUCUAGCUCGAAUCCUAAUAUUUAUCCAUUACAACCCAAAAUAAGAAACUUCUAUAGAAAAUUGUGGGAUUUACAGCUACCGGGUAAAAUAAAGAUACUAGUUUAGCGAAUUUCCUGGAACUACAUCCCUUCCCUAAUAAAUCUAAGAUCCAAGAAAGUAAUAGAGAAUGCUCUGUGCCCUCGGUGCAGACUCAAAGAGGAAGACAGUAACCAUAUCUUUAGAUUUUGUCCUGCAAUCAGUGAAAUAUGGAAUCUCAUUAAUCUCUCUUAGACCAUUGAUCAUGAUAAUCAAAGUUUCUAGAAGUGGCUUAUCUGGGUUUUUGAAAGGAGUACAAUGGAGCAAUGUCGGUCCUUUUGUUGUGCGCUAUGGUGCGUUUGGAGUUCCCGAAAUCAGCUUGUACAUGAAAAGAAAAUCAUACCAGUUAGGGAUUUAGCAAGGAAAGUCAGCAGUUACAUAGCAGAACUGGAAGGGAUCCGAAUGAAAACAUUUACCUCUUCUUCCAAAAGGGACAACAGUUAUACUAGGGCGACGGAGGGUACCACAGUUCAGUUUGAUGCCGUUUUUGACAAAAGAAAUGAUAGAUCUGCCUCAGGUAUAGUCGUUCGAGACUAGACAGGAGCUUUAAAAGCCUCAAAGUCAGUUAUACAUGAGGAUACCCCGACCCCGUUCGCAGCAGAAGCCCUCGCAGGAUUAGAUGCCAUUAAGUUAGUAAUAGAAAUGAGGUUAACAACAGUAACAAUAGAGAGGGACUCGAGAAUAGUCAUUCAAAAAUGUCAAUCGACAGAAAUUGAUAAGUCGGUCCUUGGGGUGAUUAUUUAUGACAUACAGACCAGAAAAUCCAGGGGUUCAAGACGUUACUUUCAAGUUUAUCCAUAGAACGAAUAACAUUCAAGCCCAUAAUCUAGCAAAAAAAGGGUUGGAGAGAAGGGAGGACUCAUACCUGGGAGGGAAGACGACAAUUCAUAGAGUUGCAGACUCAGAGGGAAGAUGGAGAGAAUCGCCAGAUUGAAGAUGAAUGGACAAGGAGUAGGGUGCAGUUAAGGGUAGCAAGGAAUUGAUAUCUUAGGGAACGACUAUCUGCAAAGGCAUGGCUGUUGGGACGUGAAAAGACGAGUAAAGAAUUAAAUGGCCAGGCUGUUAGAUGUGACUGGGAGAUUUUCUGUUGAUUUCCUUUUGUUUUUCUAUUUUUUUAUUCUUUAUUGUCUUUUAUCAUCAUUUCUGAGAAACGGGCUAGCUAUUAAGGAAGCCCAACUUAGUUUGUUUUGUUUGUUUGGCAGUCGGACUUAAGCCCAAAUGUUAAUUUGGGUAUUGGUUUUAUUCUAUUUGUAAAGAGCCC